rnacentral:piRNA from 1 species
UUAGCAUACAUCCAUUGCUGUGUCCAUGG